GGAAGGGGUGUAUUUAUUAGAUAAAAAACCAACGCCCUUCGGGGCUCCUUGGUGAAUCAUAAUAACUAAGCGAAUCGCAUGGCCUUGCGCCGGCGAUGGUUCAUUCAAAUUUCUGCCCUAUCAACUUUCGAUGGUAGGAUAGUGGCCUACCAUGGUGGCAACGGGUAACGGGGAAUUAGGGUUCGAUUCCGGAGAGGGAGCCUGAGAAACGGCUACCACAUCCAAGGAAGGCAGCAGGCGCGCAAAUUACCCAAUCCCGACACGGGGAGGUAGUGACAAUAAAUACUGAUACGGGGCUCUUUUGGGUCUCGUAAUUGGAAUGAGUACAAUCUAAAUCCCUUAACGAGGAACAAUUGGAGGGCAAGUCUGGUGCCAGCAGCCGCGGUAAUUCCAGCUCCAAUAGCGUAUAUUAAAGUUGUUGCAGUUAAAAAGCUCGUAGUUGAACCUUGGGUCUGGCUGGCCGGUCCGCCUCACCGCGAGUACUGGUCCGGCUGGACCUUUCCUUCUGGGGAACCUCAUGGCCUUCACUGGCUGUGGGGGGGAACCAGGACUUUUACUGUGAAAAAAUUAGAGUGUUCAAAGCAGGCCUUUGCUCGAAUACAUUAGCAUGGAAUAAUAGAAUAGGACGUGCGGUUCUAUUUUGUUGGUUUCUAGGACCGCCGUAAUGAUUAAUAGGGAUAGUCGGGGGCGUCAGUAUUCAGCUGUCAGAGGUGAAAUUCUUGGAUUUGCUGAAGACUAACUACUGCGAAAGCAUUCGCCAAGGAUGUUUUCAUUAAUCAGGGAACGAAAGUUAGGGGAUCGAAGACGAUCAGAUACCGUCGUAGUCUUAACCAUAAACUAUGCCGACUAGGGAUCGGGCGGUGUUUCUAUAAUGACCCGCUCGGCACCUUACGAGAAAUCAAAGUUUUUGGGUUCUGGGGGGAGUAUGGUCGCAAGGCUGAAACUUAAAGAAAUUGACGGAAGGGCACCACAAGGCGUGGAGCCUGCGGCUUAAUUUGACUCUACACGGGGAAACUCACCAGGUCCAGACAAAAUAAGGAUUGACAGAUUGAGAGCUCUUUCUUGAUCUUUUGGAUGGUGGUGCAUGGCCGUUCUUAGUUGGUGGAGUGAUUUGUCUGCUUAAUUGCGAUAACGAACGAGACCUCGGCCCUUAAAUAGCCCGGUCCGCAUUUGCGGGCCGCUGGCUUCUUAGGGGGACUAUCGGCUCAAGCCGAUGGAAGUGCGCGGCAAUAACAGGUCUGUGAUGCCC
rnacentral:rRNA from 1 species